GGAUGUGAGGGCAAUCUGGCUGUGAUAUCUGCCACCCCACUGAUCACCAGGGUUAACUGGGCUGACCAAGCCGGCUAGGCAGGUGUCCCCUUCCUUCCUCACUGCUCCAAGAAUGACCUUCCCCUCUAGAGGAGGCACAGUCUUGGUCAAGGGUAUCUGAAUAGCUGUGCUUCCAUGAUAGAACCCACAAAUAAGCUCUUUCAAAAGGCUAUAUAUAUUUAAAGAAUUUAAGAAAGCAUGAGGAAAUAUUUUUGAUUAAACAAACAGCAGUAUAUGAAAUUCU
ensembl:misc_RNA 7SK 7SK RNA